CUCUUGACGUAGCGCGGACGGGUGAGUAACACGUGGGUAACCUACCUAUAAGACUGGGAUAACUUCGGGAAACCGGAGCUAAUACCGGAUAAUAUUUCGAACCGCAUGGUUCGAUAGUGAAAGGUGGUUUUGCUAUCACUUAUAGAUGGACCCGCGCCGUAUUAGCUAGUUGGUAAGGUAACGGCUUACCAAGGCGACGAUACGUAGCCGACCUGAGAGGGUGAUCGGCCACACUGGAACUGAGACACGGUCCAGACUCCUACGGGAGGCAGCAGGC
rnacentral:rRNA from 1 species